AUAAUGAUACUUCCGUCAAGUCAAAAGUCGAGCAUAUAAGGGGACCCCGAAAAGCAAAACUGCUUUUUGGGGAGAGGAGGAGCUAUGGAGCGUCCGAGCCUUGAUUUAUCAAAGCAAGGCGAGAAUAGCGUAAUCAGCUCCGACGAUGUCGCAACUAAAGAUGGCGGCUGUGGGAGAUCCUCACGGUGGUGAAAUUCCAAUGA
rnacentral:ncRNA from 1 species